rnacentral:rRNA from 1 species
UGCAAGUCGAGCGGGGAAAGGUAGCUUGCUACUGGACCUAGCGGCGGACGGGUGAGUAAUACUUAGGAAUCUGCCUAUUAGUGGGGGACAACGUUCCGAAAGGAGCGCUAAUACCGCAUACGCCCUACGGGGGAAAGCAGGGGAUCACUUGUGACCUUGCGCUAAUAGAUGAGCCUAAGUCGGAUUAGCUAGUUGGUGGGGUAAAGGCCUACCAAGGCGACGAUCUGUAGCGGGUCUGAGAGGAUGAUCCGCCACACUGGGACUGAGACACGGCCCAGACUCCUACGGGAGGCAGCAGUGGGGAAUAUUGGACAAUGGGGGGAACCCUGAUCCAGCCAUGCCGCGUGUGUGAAGAAGGCCUUUUGGUUGUAAAGCACUUUAAGCGAGGAGGAGAAGCCCUAGGUUAAUACCCUAGGAGCUUGGACGUUACUCGCAGAAUAAGCACCGGCUAACUCUGUGCCAGCAGCCGCGGUAAUACAGAGGGUGCGAGCGUUAAUCGGAUUUACUGGGCGUAAAGCGUGCGUAGGCGGCCAUUUAAGUCGGAUGUGAAAUCCCCGAGCUCAACUUGGGAAUUGCAUUCGAUACUGGGUGGCUAGAGUAUAGGAGAGGAAGGUAGAAUUCCAGGUGUAGCGGUGAAAUGCGUAGAGAUCUGGAGGAAUACCGAUGGCGAAGGCAGCCUUCUGGCCUAAUACUGACGCUGAGGUACGAAAGCAUGGGGAGCAAACAGGAUUAGAUACCCUGGUAGUCCAUGCCGUAAACGAUGUCUACUAGCCGUUGGGGUCUUUGAGACCUUAGUGGCGCAGCUAACGCGAUAAGUAGACCGCCUGGGGAGUACGGUCGCAAGACUAAAACUCAAAUGAAUUGACGGGGGCCCGCACAAGCGGUGGAGCAUGUGGUUUAAUUCGAUGCAACGCGAAGAACCUUACCUGGCCUUGACAUACUAGAAACUUUCCAGAGAUGGAUUGGUGCCUUCGGGAAUCUAGAUACAGGUGCUGCAUGGCUGUCGUCAGCUCGUGUCGUGAAAUGUUGGGUUAAGUCCCGCAACGAGC